AAAUUUAGGUUACUAUAAACCAAGGACCUUCAAAGCCCUAAACAGAAUAAAUCAUUCUAAUUUCUG
rnacentral:tRNA from 1 species